rnacentral:lncRNA from 1 species
UGUUUUUUUCUUCUUUUGUAAAAUAUUUUAAAUAUGUUAUGAACUCGCCGAAGUUUGGUUGAAUUUGCGCCUUGUUUGUGCCGGAUUUUGUUUUAAAAAACAUGGGCGCGGCGACUAGGGGGCAUCAUGCCCCCAGCACGUGGUUAGCGCCGAUACGCCCCUAGGCGGUGAUUUUUAGCGCCUCCUGGAAGGCCAAUGGCUGGAGAUGCUCUAACCUGACACUGUAGCUGCCAUAUGCUGCUCUUAGCGACAACCAAUAAGGUUUGGUAAGUCACAAGAACAAAGCAACGAGUGAUGCUUAAGAGUGAGACCAAAAUAUUGAGGACGCGUGUCCAACACUCUAAAUAGGAGAUUGGUCACGAGGAAUAGUAAAAAUCAUGAAGAAAGGAAAGCGCAUUUGCAAUGAUCCCAAAUACUCUUUUAGUAUCUCUAGUAUCAUUGAGCAACACAUGGGAAAAUAAGUUACAAACCUCCAUAGACGGUGCUAGCUGGGAAUGGCAAGGGGGCAAAAGGGAAAAUAUGGUUGUUUUGGGUGUGGAGGUGAGACUUUUUACUUCAAUCUAAGGUCGUCUAAAAAACUUCUUCAUUGAUUCCGCCUAAUCCAGGGGGGCAAUGCCCCCACUCCUAAUAUGUGCAUAGUUCUGCCACUGCGGGCUUACAUGAAAUCAACGCUAGCAAUUUGGUAUCUUGCUAAUCGGCACCACGACAACUUGAAUAGUGCAAACGAGAAACACAAGUCUUUGAGUGGAUGAUCUUGUGGUAUCAAGUGAAGAAUCAUGUCAUACGCCUGCCAAACUUUAUCCAUGGUCACUUUUUUGAACAUUUCACUAGGCCAUCAUUGAUCAUUUGUAUUAUAUCACCUGGGUGAAUAUUAUUUAUUUAAUGUAGUAACCACGAGGAUGGUUCUUCUGAUGUGCAAUGUAAUCCCAUGUAACUAUAAGUGGAGUUGAUAUAUUCUCAUCCACUUAUUGUUGGCUUAUAUUGUAUCCUAUAGUUUCUUCAUAUACCUGAUAAUAAACUUAGGGUUGCUUCCAAGUGCAAAUGAUCGCUUAGCCUCAUAAAACUCAUAAUAGUUGAAAAUGUUUUGGCAAAGAAAAGAACAAACAAAGUAGGAUCAAUCUGCUUUCGGUUGGAAGAUUGCUCCGGAACUCGGGCAUGUAGAAUCCCUCCGGGACUCCACCUCAUACAGUGUAGAUAGGAAGGUAGGAAGUCUGUACUACUUGAAGAACCUGCACCACAUGGGGAGCAAUGCCUCGAUGCUCCCUUUGAUCAAUGAGAACUAUUGUGCUGGUAUUGACUGACAAUUUGAACAAGGCCGGUCCACACUAACACAAGGAAGACAUGCUGCCCAUAGGCAGAUCCAUGUUAAUAUCUUCUAGUUGGAUAGAACAAUCAUGAUAUACUAGUUACGAAUAGUGGAGACAACAUAUGAUAUGAUCGGUAAGAACAAGGUGGUGGCACCGAGAAAGAUCAAGCAGGUCAAUGGAUGGUGACCAUAGAAUAACUGUGUGCGCCUAUUCUGAGCAUGACUCACGUCAAAAUGGUGUUCACCGCCACUUAUAGCUCUUAGUAUGUGUCGGUGUGAGGGGGGGGCAAUGCCCCCCUUCCCAGAAAGAUUUUUUCUAAGAGAGCUUAGACUAGAAAAACAAGCAUGCCCCCACCUCGACCCUCAGUUGGACUUUUCAAGCUUCACUAUUGUUUACCACCAAGAGAGUAUUCACUCAUAAGAUAUGCCCGCCCACAAUCUUAGAGAAGUCAACCAAUUCAUCGAUGGUGCAUUGUUUCAUAGAAGGUAUAGCCAUGAGUUGAAUAUUAAGUAUCAUCAUAUAUUAGUAUCUAUACUAGUACAUAUAUGUAUAAAGAUAAACAUCAUUACAAGACAUUAGACAACUCUUUUAUUACACAUGCGGGGUUCCACAUCAUCUUUCAGAUCUUAGUCAUCUAUUUUAUUUUUCCAAAUGACACAUAUAUGUAGGUUCUCCCCCACAUCAUACAAUUACUUUUUAAAUAUAAAAUAAAUAAAUAUUCACAUGACAAUAGUUAUGAUUGAUUAUUUUCCCAAUCUUAUUACUCUUACUGAUUACUUUUUAUAUUAUUGAAUAUGCAUUUGUUAAUAAUGAUAAGCUUGCAUUUCUAAAGUAAAAUCAUAGUACACCCGUGGAUGCAUUUGUGUUAAGAACUCUACACACUUUUGUUACUAAAUUUGCAUUUACGAUUCAUUUAUCAAAUAAUGGUAUUUUUAUUAGAUGUCGUUGCGAGAUUUCAAAAGUCUAUUCACCCCGACAUCAACAAUUCAACAUUACUAGUGUAUAUUUCCACCAAAUGCCACAUCAACGCAUAGCAUAAAUACAAGAUUUUUUAGAAUAUAAGUUGGUAGAAAUUUUGUAACAUGCACUACUCAAAGCACAUACAUAAUUAACGAGCAACAUUUUAUGUUCUUAAAGCCAAUAAAGAAUUGAAAUUGUAUCUAGGAAUUGAGGGUGAUGGAGAAAGCCCAAUCAAAGACGUGUCACAUUCUUGUAGGACAAGCUAGAGCACACGAGGUUUGCCUAAAUGGCCUGGUCUACCUAAGAGAGGUUAUCAAGGAAACCUUACGGUUGCAACCUAUAGUCUGUUAAUGCCUAGAAUAUGUUUACAAGAUUGCAAUAUUUCAAGGAUAUGACGUGCGUCAUGGCAUAAUCGUGAUAAAAAAAUAUGGGCAAUAUCUAGGGAUCGGAAGUACUCAAAUGAGCCAGAUAAGUUCAUAAAAGAGAGAUUCAAGGACGAGGAUGGUGUCCACUUUGAGUUUACUCCUUUUGGGAUAGGGCGGAGGAUUUGCCCAGGUAUAGUAUUUGUAUAUGCAAUUAUGGAAAUUGCUCGAGCUAGUCUUAUUUACCAUUUUGAUUGGGACCUUCACGGGGUAUUGAGCCUAAGGAAAUAGACAUAACAGAGGUGUUUGGAAUCACCAUUAGUAGGAAGGUUGAGCUAUUAUUGCAUCAUGUUGCUCAUUAUCCCCUCCAGAUGUAUAACAUUUUCAAAAGGCACAUGGUAAUGGUAUCAAAACAUAAGUGGCCGAAAUAAAUAGAUGUAUUAUCCAUGCGUAUGAACAAAUCUUAUGUAAUUGUGACACAUACUUUGUACCGAGUAUAUAUAGUACAAUAUGCAUAUUUGGAAGUAGAAAAUGUGGUCUUUAACAUUCCAAUGGCUUUUGUAUAAAAUAUCUUUAAUUUAUAAGGUGCAUUCGACUUCUCGUAUUUUCAGAAAUAAUUCACAAUUUUGGCUACGGUUUUCACUUAAUAUGAGUGUAAAUUUAUUAGUAAAAUGAUGUAUGACAUACAAAUAGUUUAUACAGAGAUAAAGUCUUAUAUACGCUUGUUCACGAAGGCUAUAUAAACAUGCAUGUGUUUGCACUCAAAAUUUUAAAACAUUAACCACAUCUAUAUUUAUAUGGAUCUUAUGCUUUGGAUUGGACGGAAUAUGUAAGUAUAGAACAAAGACUCUUCAGAUACCAUGGGCCCACAUGCCAACUGAUCUAGUGUGUGAUGAAAAACUACACGGAUACAUCCAUGCUCCUAACCGGCGCUAAAGGCGCCGGUUGAAGUUUCUGGCGCCCACCCGACUCCUAUUAUGGGCCAGGCCCAUGAACACGCCCACGCGACUCCUAUUAUGGGCCAGGCCCACGAACAUGCAGCAGUUUGAUGUAGUAGUAGCGCGAAAAAAAGUACUCAGAAAUUAUGGCGUUCCGAGGAAUCCAACUCGCAACCCUUGACUCAACUUACUGGUUGGCUAACCACUCGAGCAAAUACACAUUUCAGAAAUACUGCAGCGCGACGAUGUAUAAGAACAAAACACUGUAGCCAGGUAGAAUUUUGAAUUAAUUGCAAACAUUUUGAAAAAACGUGAUUUCUUCUGACAAAAGUCUUAUUUUUUUCGAAAGUUCACAUAUUUUAGAAAGAAUCACGAAUUAGAAUAAAUUUCAUCCAUUUACAAAAACUUCACAAAAUCUGAAGAAGUUCAUCGAUUUUUAGAAAAGUUCAUCGAUCCUCAAAAAGAGUUUAUCGAUUUUGAAAAAAGUUCAUCGACUUAAAAAAAUUUCACAAAAUCAAUUUUGAAAAAUAGUUCACAAAUUUGAAAAACAUUCAUCGAUUUUGGAAAAAAAAUCAUCAUUUUGGAAAAGGGUUCAUCAAAUUUGAAAAAAAAAGUUCAUCAAUAUUGGAAAAAGUUCAUCGAAUUUGAAAAAAAUUCAUCAAAUUUGGAAAAAAGUUCAUCAAAUUUGGAAAAAGUUCAUCCAAUUCAAAAAAAGUUCAUCGGAUUUGGAAAAAAGUUCAUCAAUUUUGAAAAAUAGUACAUUCAGGUGAACAAAAGAAAAAAAACACCGAACAAAACCAUUCCAAACAAAAUGAGGAAUUUUAAAAAAUAAUCACUAAUUGUAAAUAGUUCACGCAUUUAGUAAAGGAAAAAAGAAACAUAAAAUGAGAAAAGUAAAGUAAAAAACCGUUCCAAGAAAAGAAACCAGGAUUCCGCGACGUUUAUAUAUACAAAGAAUAAAUAAAACAAAGAAAACUUUUUGACACAUCGGUUCGCUUGUCGUAGUGGUUGGGGCGCUGCUCUUUGAACGUGGGAACCUGGACUCGAACCUUACCUCAAGCACUCCCUUUUUGCGUUGCUUCAGUUUGAAACAGAAGAAAAAACAAAUGACAACGGGCCGGCCCAGCGCAGCAGGGGGGUAUGCGCCCGAUUGUACGUAGUACUGUAACGGGCGCAGCGAGCGCCGUUUAGGAUUUGCCCACAUCCAAGGGCAAACAGAAGAAAAAACAAAUGACAAUGGGCCGGCCCAGCGCAGCAGGGGGGUGUGCGUCCGAGCGCCGUUUAGGAUUUGCCCACAUCCAAGGGCAAUGCCAUACGCCAAGGCUAUAUAUUGCCCGUACCGAGACGUAACUCGGUCUCGUCUCUGCGCGCGAGGGAGUGGGCCGGCCUAGUACUGUAGCAUCUCUGACUCGAUUUUUUUUCUCUAUUUGUAUUUUCUUAUCGAUUUUCACUAGUUGCAUCGGUUUUCUUUGGGUUUUUUGUUUCUUUCUUUUUCAACACAUGUCUACAUUUUUUCAUACACAUUGUACGUUUUUUUGUAUACAUCAGAAACAUUUUUUUAUACAUGUUUCAUAUUUGUCAAAUGCAAUUUUUCCAAAUAUAUUAUUACGCUGAACCUGAACAUGAGUGUUUACCUUUUUUUUCAUUUGUCCACUGUUUGUACUACGGCUUUCCUCUGGUAUUUUUCGUUUUUCAUUUCUUUUUUUCUUCGGUUUUCACUAUUUUUCUUCUUUUUUGUUCAGAAUAUAUAUAACUUUUUAUACAUAUUUUACAUUUUUUAUAUUCAUUAUGAACAUUUUUAAUACAUGUUUAAUAUUUUUCAUAUACAUGAUUACAUUUUUUUGAAAUACAUGUUUUGAUACUUACUUUUUUUCCAUGCAUAUUGUAAAAUUUUCAUAUACAUCUAAGAUAUUUUUUAUAUAUGUUUAACAUUUUAAAUACAUGAUUACCAUUUUUUUCAUAUACUCAUUUGAAGAGUUUUUUCCAAAUACAGGUUGAAAUAUUUCUGUCUAUGGCUACCGAGAGUUCUUCUACUAGAGAAUAGAUCUAAGAGCCCCUAGCUUCCCCUUAUAUACACGGUGGGAGCUAGAGGAGGGAGAUGUGAUCUGUCAUGCCGUCCUCCUUGGUUUGGAGUCCACCAUUGUCCCAGAGACUCUUAUGGGUCGUCCUGGACCCCUUCUUGUCUUCAUCUUGUCAGGCUCCCCUUGGAGAAGCCAUCAUCGGUGCAUGGCACCGAGAAAGCCGCUCGCAACAUGAUCGCGUCGUAGCCGGACACGAAGGCGACGUUGGCGGCUUAGGCAAUCGCGGAUGAGAACGCUGGUAGCUGCACGUCCUUCACGCUGCCAACGACACUUCGUUAGCGUCGGUGGCACGACGAGCGUGCCGCCCCGUCCACGUCCACCAUCCACCUCACGUCCACCGACGACGAAUAGGUCACGUACUCCGGUGAGGAGCAGUAGGGCAUGGGAAGCGGUGAGGCCAUGAGUCCUGUGAGCUGGUCCGUGUCCCAUGGCCUACUCUUCCUCGCCGGCGACCGCACCUCACUUCGAGGGGCUCAGAUGGCCGCCCGACAUGGGCACAGACGAAACAACAGGGACUCGGAGGACGUGUGCCACUUUAGAUUUAGACUAGAUUUAGGUCAGAUUAUUUUUGUUUAAUGGAAUUUGUUGAAAAUUUAAUGAGUGUGCUCCAGUUUAGAUGGACUGUAAAGGGGUUGGCUUAAGAUUGUUGCAGUACGGAUUAGGAAAGAUGAAGGCUAGGGUGGUCCGAAUUAACCAUGUUUCUUGUAAAAAAAAAGACGUGAUUUUGCCAUUGCGAAUGAGCACGGAGCUAAUAUUGUGGUGAGUUCAAUUUAACCAUUGUCCCUUGUAUUAAUUUUUAUUCUUUUAUCAACGGAAUGAUACUCAAUCUUUAUGUAUUCACAAAGAAAAAUAAGUUAUUUGUUUUGUGUCCUUUUUCCCGAGAAAUCAUUGGUCGCACUAUGCAUGGCUUGGUAAAAUGAAACAAGAACCUCCGUCCCAUAAUAUAAUAUCAUUUAUUUUAUUUCUUUAUUUUGCGAAUAGAUCGUUUAUGAGACGGAAGAAGUAAUAAUUAAGCAAUCAAAAUUUAGCACAUGAACUGCGCAUGGCGCGCGUGCAUCGUCCCCCCCGAACUGGCGUGCUGCCGGUCCCGACCAGCCGCUAGCUCCUGAUCCGUGCUGCUGCCCACAGAAUUCAACACGAUCUGCAGGCCUUGAAUGCCCAAAUCGACGCCAAUGCGAGGACCCGAUCCGUACGCUAAGCGCGUGAGAAACCGCCAUUCUAUAUUACUCCCUCCGUUCCAAAAUAGAUGACCCAACUUUAUACUAGCUUUAGUACAAAGUUGGGUCAUCUAUUUUGGAACGGAGGGCUCCUAGCCUCCUACCAUUAGCAUUGCUCGCCCGAUUAAUAUUAAUUACUGUACAUCAAAUCGCACGAGACCGCCGGCAAGAUCCAGAUCCGUACGCGGCGGCCAGCUCGCAUUAUUAACACAAGUGGCGGCCGAUGGAAGCUACCUAUCUCGUCCUCAUCCCGCGCCGUGCCGUGCCGUGCCAUGUCCGUCCCUUGAAGCGCAAACAAGAGAUCCAAUCAUAAGCACCUGCGUGGUUAUGGUGGAGCACAGCAGAUGCUUGUCAAACUCAGCUGCAACCGGAUCUUGUAUUUCAGGCUCGGCGGUCGGUUUUCUGUUGAGGAAUGCACGGCCACUUGACCCUCCUGAUCCUCCCGCGCCGACGAGGGCGCGGCAGUGCGUGCGUGCGUCUCAUCAUCGCACUCCGCAACCACCUGCCCGAGCUCGCGUCUCGUUUUCUCAGCGGGCACGCGUUUGCUCGGGGCCCGAUAAUGACUAUGGAUGCGUUUGGUUACUCGUCCCGACCCGCUGGAUACAAAAUCGAACCGUUUGGAUGGCUGGGUUGUAUAAAAAUCUUGCGCCGCACCAACCUCAAAAUAGUCCCGGGCUAGGUUGAGUGGGAAGGGCCAAAUCGGCCGUUUUCCCUAAGCCAGGCCCGGACCAGCCACGUAUGCCACUCGCAUGCACGCAUGGGUAAACGCAGGAGAGCGACGGGACGCUUCAUAACUAUCAUCGUUCACCCCCCUCACCGGCCACCGUUGAAUUCACACCACACUCUUCCCUCCCUUUCAUCACCCGCACUCUCGGUUUCCCAUGGCUGACCCUCGAGCUCACUCCCUCCCUCCCCUCCACCUCGCCUCCCUCGCUCUGCAUCGGCCCGCAACUGGUGGCUCGACGGCAUGACCAGGUCGGACGCCGACAUUUUGGCCGCAAUCUGGUUGUUGUCGCCGUUCUGCGCACGACGGACGCGGUCCUCGACCAUUGACACACUGGCCGAUGACGGUUCUUCGGAGGUGAUGGGGCAGGUACUAGUUCUUCGGCGGCAGCGGGAGGCGCAUCGGGUGAGCCCGAUGUCGCCAUUUUCACCCCCAUUCAGGGGUUUUCUACCCCCACUCCUGACCAAAGCCUAGGGUUUGUGGAUGGCGGCGACCGAUACAUCUACAAAUUUGGAGAUUUUUGCAUUGAUCAUGACUAAUGUCAUUGGCCGGAAGGCUUGAACAGUGCACUAAUCAUGCCACUGCCAUUGUGUUAUGGGCUUGAUCAUUGCAUUUACCAAGGCCAUUGUCAUUGGACAACAGCCCGCAUCAAUGAUCAAGGCCACCGACAUUUGCCAUAUGACUUGAUCAAUGCACUUAUCAUGUCAUUCCAAUUGAGCAAAAGCGUAGGGCCUCUUUGAUUCGUAGGAUUGCAAAAACACGAGAAUAUGAAAAUGUAUGAUUGAAAUGGCAUGUCCAUUGGAUUCAUAUAGGAUUUGAGUUUGUUUGAUUGUGUCAUGGAAAAAGUAAAGGAUUUCUUCCAAGAGGUUGGAGUGGAUAUUAGAAUUCCUGUAAAAUGUAGUACCGAUAAAUCCUUAGGAAAAAAUCCUACAAAAUUUAGGCCUCUUUUGGUUCAUAGGGUAGGAAAAUUAUAGGAAUAGGAAAGUCAUAGGAAAUGAGAUGACAUGUAUUUCAAAUCCUAUGAGUAGGAAUAGGAAAGGAGAUGCUCUUUGAUUUACAUCAUAGGAUUUUUUUUUCCAUUGAGUCUAGGCUAAUGUUUAUUUUCCUAUGAAAUGUGAAGGAUAGGACGAAUUCCUCCACAGGAAUAGGAUUCCAAUCCUACAAACCAAAGGGCUCUAAAGAAAUUUUUCCUAUAGAAACCCUAUCCUAUGAAAUUCCUACAAGAUUCCUCUAAACCAAAGGUGACCUUAAUCCUACGAAUCAAACGACCAGCGUAGAAAAAAUUCCUAAGGAUUCUAAUCCUUCAAAAAUCCUAUGAAGAUCCUUUGAAUCAAAGAGACCCGCAGUAGGUAGCACAAUUAAAAAAGGCGUAAUAGGUAGCACAAUUCAGUGGUGGAGCUAGACAACAUCUGCUGCGGGUGAAAUGUAAAAUAUAAUUGGUUCAGGGGGACCAAAAGCUAAAAAAAAGUACUCAUCUAUCCGACUACCCCUCACAAUAUUUUUUUCUUCACAAGUUGGUUCAAUGUUGGCCCAGGAGCCUAAAUAGCUCUGCCACUGGCACAGUUGACGGUCUAUGAUUUGUGCUUGUUGUUAAGACAUUGUGCACUGAUCAUGGACAAUGCCAUUGGUCGUAAGGCUUGAUCAGUGCACUGAUCAUGCUGUUGCCAUUACGUUAUGGCCUUGAUGAUUGCAUUGAUCAAGGCCAUUGUCAUUGGACAACAACCUUCAUCUGAUGCACUGAUCAAGGCCACUUACAUUAGCCAUAAGGUCCGAUCAGUCCACUGAUAAAUGCAGAAUGCCUUUGAUACGACCAAGCACAUUACUAACGGAUGUCUUUCCGAUCUGACAAGAUCAUGAAGACUGAUUGGGGGCGAGUUGGACGCGCUCCCGUCGUGGUUCAAGGUGCGGAGAUCGGUGAGGACUGGAUCCCGCACAACAAGUGUUACAUGAGGAAGAAGGUGACGAGGAGGAUACUGGAGAUGUCCAAGCCCAGGUCGACAUUGAGGUAUCAUCCAAGGCUAGGCCAUGAGCAUGCAUCCAUUCAGGCUCAUCGAUUUUAUAUGUCGAUCACCGACACCACGAGGACAUGGCCAUGUUGGUCAUCCCCAAGCCUUUUCCAGUCGAUGAUCAAGAAAUGGAUCUACAUCCCUAUCCUUCGUGUGGUGAAGUUGUCAGCGAACAAGACGUGCAACUACUAGGUGCGUGUGGAGUGGUUUCGGGGCCAGAUCGUGCUAGGCAUGGGGUGGGAUUACUUUGCCACAAGCAUAAGAUCCUCCUCGACGACCUCCUCGGCUUCAAGCUCUCAAACCUGGGGGUUCAAAGUGCAGGUCUAAGACGCCGGAAGUCUACCAUCACCAUGUACAUAUGCCACAAGUUCGUCUGUCGAGGCCCAUAUGAUACCGCCUUCCAAAGUUCUACGUGGUCCUAUUGCCUGUCUAGUUGUCUCGACAUGUUAGCUGUUAAACCGUCGUUUGUUGAUGUUUAAACUGUGCAUUUUGGUUAGGGAAACACCACCCUGGGUUCGUGCAGGGGCAUGUGAUGCCCAUGUUGGCUUUAAACUGUUGGGGAACGUAGUAAUUUCAAAAAAAUUCCUACGCACACACAAGAUCAUGGUGAUGCAUAGCAACAAGAGGGGAGAGUGUGAUCUACGUACCCUUGUAGACCGACAGCGGAAGCGUUGUGACAACACGGUUGAUGUAGUCGUACGUCUUCACGAUCCGACCGAUCCAAGCACCGUUACUUCGGCACCUCCGAGUUCUUGGCACACGUUCAGCUCGAUGACGAUCUCCGGGCUCCGAUCCAGCAAAGCGUCGGGGAGGAGCUCCGUCAGCACGACGGCGUGGUGAUGAUUUUGAUGUUCUACCGUCGCAGGGCUUCGCCUAAGCACCGCUACAAUAUGACCGAGGUGGAAAAUAUGGUGGAGGGGGCACCGCACACGGCUAAGGAACGAUCACGAAGAUCAACUUGUGUGUCUAGAGGUGCCCCCUUGCCCCCGUAUAUAAAGGAGCAAGGGGGAGGGGGCGGCCGGCCUAGAAGGGGGCGCGCCAAGGGGAGUCCUACUCCCAAUGGGAGAGGAAAAAGGAAAAGGGGGCUGCGCCCCUUGUCCAAUUCGGACCGGAGGGGGGGCGCAGGCCUCCUUCCUUUUGGCCUCUCUCCUCUAUUCCCGUAUGGCCCAAUAAGGCCCAUAUACUCCCCGUCAAAUUCCCGUAACUCUCCGGUACUCCAAAAAAUACCUGAAUCACUCGGAACCUUUCCGAUGUCCGAAUAUAGUCGUCCAAUAUAUCGAUCUUUACGUCUCGACCAUUUUGAGACUCCUCGUCAUGUCCCGGAUCUCAUCCGGGACUCCAAACUCCUUCGGUACAUCAAAACUCAUAAACUCAUAAUAUAACUGUCAUCGAAACCUUAAGCGUGCGGACCCUACGGGUUCGAGAACAAUGUAGACAUGACCGAGACACGUCUCCGGUCAAUAACCAAUAGCGGAACCUGGAUGCUUAUAUUGGCUCCUACAUAUUCUAUGAAGAUCUUUUAUCGGUCAGACCGCAUAACAACAUACGUUGUUCCUUUUGUCAUCGGUAUGUUACUUGCCCGAGAUUCGAUCGUCGGUAUCCAAUACCUAGUUCAAUCUCGUUACCGGCAAGUCUCUUUACUCAUUUCGUAAUACAUCAUCUCACAACUAACUCAUUAGUUGCAAUGCUUGCAAGGCUUUAUGUGAUGUGCAUUACCGAGAGGGCCCAGAGAUACCUCUCCGACAAUCGAAGUGACAAAUCCUAAUCUCGAAAUACGCCAACCCAACAUGUACCUUUGGAGACACCUGUAGAGCACCUUUAUAAUCACCCAGUUACGUUGUGACGUUUGGUAGCACACAAAGUGUUCCUCCGGCAAACGGGAGUUGCAUAAUCUCAUAGUCAUAGGAACAUGUAUAAGUCAUGAAGAAAGCAAUAGUAACAUACUAAACGAUCGGGUGCUAAGCUAAUGGAAUGGGUCAUGUCAAUCAGAUCAUUCACCUAAUGAUGUGAUCCUGUUAAUCAAAUAACAACUCUUUGUCCAUGGUUAGGAAACAUAACCAUAUUUGAUUAACGAGCUAGUCAAGUAGAGGCAUACUAGUGACACUAUGUUUGUCUAUGUAUUCACACAUGUAUUAUGUUUCCGGUUAAUACAAUUCUAGCAUGAAUAAUAAACAUUUAUCAUGAUAUAAGGAAAUAAAUAAUAACUUUAUUAUUGCCUCUAGGGCAUAUUUCCUUCAUAAACACCCCCUACUAAGCUGCUGACGUGCUUAGUCAUGUAUGUCUAGUUCUGAAUUUGUUGUGUUGUUGCUUAUUUCUGCAUAAUGUGUGUUUGUUGUUCUUUGCUGUUGUGUUGUUCUUGUGUAGUGUGGUGGUAAGCCCGCCACAUUUAAAAGGGGUGAGCACAUUGGCAAAUUCGCACACAGCCAAACAACUAUGAUUUGCAGUUGCUCACCCCUAAAGCACAUACGCGAGCAACCAGAUGCUAGACAUUCAAAUGCUCAAUGGUGCAAUGCAAGGUUCCAAACAAUGUGCAUAAGGUGGUCUAGAGCCUGAAUACCCUUAAACAGGCUCUACUGGCGACAGAUGCAAAGUGCCCAAAAUCCAUGCGAGUAACCAAACACAUCCAAUGCGUAGAAACGCAUGCACGAAGGACCAAAGUAACCUGGGCGAUCUGGUCCUUGGUAUCGAUUUGUAGUAGCCCGAGUGGGAGAAUUAACGUGAGCUCAUUGUGUUGUCAUGUAUCCAGUUCUUCCCCAGGCUCUUCUUCCUCCUCUACCUCGGUUGCUUCAUGGGAAAGGAAAGGAGCUCAUGGGUGCGUGCUUCUCUUCAAUGCUCUUGCUUCACCCCAAAAUUCUAGUAGCCUUCAGACGCCCAUCACACAUGUAAUCAAGGUGAGAGCGAACCAUUUCGUAGUUGCAUGCGCAAUAGCGACAACAUGUCAUUGAUGCACAUAGACAACCAUGGCCACUUUGGCUCGGACUUGGCUUUGGGUCACGACAAGCUUUGUAGGUAACACCCAUUGACGCCUAUACACGGUACACAUGUAUCUCAUAUGUAUCCGAUGAUCAUGUGCUUCUAAAGGUAUUAGGUAGGAUGUGCGGCUUGCCGCACCCAAGCCGGGAGCCCGUCAUAUCCAACACGUAACAAAGUCAUUGAAGCAUUGCAUAUAAAAUGAAAGGAUUUUUUUUAUAUUUUCCACUCUAGAUUUUGCCAACCUUUCUUAUGUUACUCUAGCUUUUGAUGUUUCGCUUCUGUUACUCCUAGCUGUUGACAAUACAUCUUCAUGGCAAAAGCAAAAAUUUCAGAGUGUCAAUUAUGAUACUAUUUCAAAAGCUAAGAGUGACAAAAGUGAAAUGAUAUUAUUUCACUUUUGUUACGGAAUGACAAUUGUGAUACAUUGUCAAGAGCUAAGGGUGACAAAAAUAAAACAUCAUUUUUUAGUGUGGCAUAAACAAAAUUGGCAAAACCUAGAGUGCUAAAAAGACAAAUCUAAGGGCCCAGAUUGACCGGUGAAAUAUGCAACGCUCACAGCAAGCCAGCCCAAGUUCCGACGGCCAAUGACACUGGAAAACAUAUCUAACUGUCUAGAACCUCCGAUGAAUGUGAAAGCUUGGUUUCACCCAGCUAUGUAACUAUGGGAUGGGAUGGGGUACGUACGUGACACCAGGGGCGAUUCUACUGGGGGGCUUUAACAGGCUCAAGCCCCCCCCUCCAGCACUGUAAAAUUUGUUUCUACUACUAGUUUUAAGGCCCAGCCCAACAUUUGCAGGCCCAAUCCAACACAUAUUUGCAUGACCCAGACAGCCCAGCCCGCCCUCCAUUUUUUUCUAGAUUCGCCACUGCGUGACACGGUGAUCGGCCACGGUGAUCGGCCUCGCACGUAUACCAUUGGCAUGCUAAAAUACUGGUCUGCGGUCCUCUAGACCGGAGAGCAGAAGACGGCCUGCACGCGACACAGUGCGCAAACUCACGCUGUUCACCUGGUGGUGAUCAUUGAUCAGUCUCUCUCAAUCAGAGACGAGUUAUGGUUUCCAGAGCGUCUAUCUACGGGCAAGACCGGCCUAGUAAAACGAGCCCCGUGUCGCUCCCCGCGAGCGACCCGAGCGCUAGCCCUAGCCGCCGGUCGCCGCCGCACCUCCAGCCUUCCUCUCCCCGCCGCCGCCGGUGAGCGCCGCCGGGCAAAGCACGCGCGGUGUCGGCGGCGGCGGGUUUUCCUCCCCUGCAAGCGAGGCGGGCUGCGGGGGCUGCUGCGCUUAGCGAAGGCGNNNNNNNNNNNNNNNNNNNNNNNNNNNNNNNNNNNNNNNNNNNNNNNNNNNNNNNNNNNNNNNNNNNNNNNNNNNNNNNNNNNNNNNNNNNNNNNNNNNNNNNNNNNNNNNNNNNNNNNNNNNNNNNNNNNNNNNNNNNNNNNNNNNNNNNNNNNNNNNNNNNNNNNNNNNNNNNNNNNNNNNNNNNNNNNNNNNNNNNNNNNNNNNNNNNNNNNNNNNNNNNNNNNNNNNNNNNNNNNNNNNNNNNNNNNNNNNNNNNNNNNNNNNNNNNNNNNNNNNNNNNNNNNNNNNNNNNNNNNNNNNNNNNNNNNNNNNNNNNNNNNNNNNNNNNNNNNNNNNNNNNNNNNNNNNNNNNNNNNNNNNNNNNNNNNNNNNNNNNNNNNNNNNNNNNNNNNNNNNNNGGCGAGUGGCGGAGCGCGCGCCGCCGGCGAGAGGAGGUCGCGGGUCCGACAGGCGCGGGGUCCCCGCGGUCGGUCGGGGAAAAUCUGGCCUCUGCUGGCUUGGGGAAGGGCAAGCGGGGGUGCCAGCGCGCGCACCGUUGGCGCGAGGAGGCCUCUGACGCCAUAGGAACGGGGUCGGCCGGCCAGAUCUGGCCGUUAGCUUGCUCACGGCGGGAUGGUUUGGCGCCGCGGGCCUGCUAGUCGGAUGGCUGCGUUUCGUGUCUGGGUCGGCUACGUUUUUGGCGUGUGGAGGCAGUAGCGGUGGAGUCGGGGUUGCUGGUGGUGUCUCUCCUUCAAGUGCGUACACGCCAGCUCCCUUGAGUGGUGGCGCCUUCCAGUUUGCUUGGGGCUUCACGAGGCUUGCGCAGACCAGAUCCAGCACGAGCACUCUUGGCCUUGCGCGCGGUGGUGCGGACGGCACAAUUUGGCUUGGAUCCCGCCCAGUUCUGCGUGCUGCAGUGCGGACCGGCUAUGUCCGGCUUUCCCUCUGCCUUCUUUGUGCGCUGCGAUGCGGAGGAUCGCCCAGUUCUGCGCACGGAGAUAGAGAAUGGCCAGAUCCGGCUUGGCUCGCCCAGGGUCUGCGAGCGGCUAUGUGGACCGGCCAGGUUGGCGUGUGCUCACCGAGUUUCUGCGUGCGGCUUUGACAUACUCGUUAUUGGUAGUGUUCGCAUGGGGCUGUGAUGCUCCGUGGCGCUGGUGGCCUCGGAUCCUGGAUUUGUUGGUGGAAGACUCGGCUCCGGAUGAAAAUCAUGCAUCGACAUUGUCGUUGCCGGCGGUAGCGGCAUCCACGGAUGUCGUCGUCCUCCUUGGAGGUAUCGUUGUGGAGCCGCUUGCCCUUCCUACCCAACGGCGUGAGAUCUUCGGGUGAAAACCUAAGAUCAGGCAGUGCCAGAUCGGGUGACGGCGGUGUUCUCAACAUCGUUUUCCUUCUUGGGGGCGUCACCUUGGAGAAUCCCGACGAUGGAUCCGAUGGUGUUCACGAUUGAUGGUAGAGUUUGGGUUCGUGGUGCUGCCGACAGGUCCUUUUUUUUUCGCACUGCUUUUUCAGUGCUUUCCUCCUCUGAGGAUUUUUGUAACACCUUCUUCUGAUCAAUGAAUUUGGCAGUUUUCUUACCAACAUUCAAAAAAAAAUCAGAGACGAGUUCCCGCGCCGAGAUCCCGACCAGAUUUGCUGCCGACGGGUGCGGCGGCAGGGCAGAGCCUGCGUCGCGCCGGACGAUGGAUCCCACUUUGCACAGACGCGAGUCGGGCUGGGACCUGAGAUACACACGACACGAGCAGGACAUUAUUUACUUGAGGUUCAUCAGGGGCACCGUUUACUUUCCUUGUUGUUUUACCGUUGGCUUGCGCGCGCGCGCGUGUGUGCAUGCUGAAUCUGUGAUCACACUUUCUCUCUAAAGACACCACGGCGCCGUGCUUGCUUGACCGGUUGGAGCACGCAGAUUUGUUUGACCAUCCGCUUUUGGACAUGGAAGUGCUAUCUAGUGGUAUGCUAUCAGCUUUGUGUGUUACUGCCUGGGGCAUCUGGUGUAGUAAAACAUGCUGGAGGAGUAGUAGUAGUAGAAUAACGAGGUUUUUUAGGCCACCUCCACCACGCGACCCCAAACGGACGUCCGGAUUAAUCGGAUUUUGUUCCUUUGGGGCGCCGAUGGAUUCGCCCGUGUCCGGCUUUGUCAGAUGGGUCGUGCGUGUGCCCACCGCGCGGCCGCACCCCAAAUCGUGUCCGGGGUGGACGUGGAUAAAAAAAUUAUAAAAACUAGAAUGAAAUAACUAAAAAAGUAAAUAAACGCAUUUAAAAAAACAUAAAACAUAUAUAUGGGUUGGCCACAUAACGGCCCAGUUUCCACGGCCACUUAAAAUGCCCAGUUUCAUAAUUAACAUAUAAAAAAUAAUAAAAAAACGCCUCCCGCGCGCUCCUGCCGUGCCCGUCGGUGCCGUGGCCGUCGCCGUCUUCACUGGCCGCCGGUGUCGUGUCCACAGGUGGGCCGGCGGUGCGUGGUAGACGGGGGCGGGCUGGACGACCGGAGGUGCCUGCACCACCUCCUCCCGGGGCGACGCCUCCCGCUCCGGUGACUGCGGCGGAGUGGGGCACCAGUUCACGCCCACGCGGCGGCCAUCUCCGGAGCAGUGCAGGACCAGCCCCACCCCUGGCCCAGCAGCUGCUGGAAUGCGGCCGGCAUCGCCUCCUCCGUCGCCUCCUCCGUGACGGCCGCCAUCUGCAGCUCCGGGAAGGCGACGUCCCCGGCAGCAGAGAGGGCCAUGGUCUUCUCCAGGCCGUUCCACUGCCGCUCGUCGUGCGUGUUCAUGGAGUCAUCCAUGACAUGCUGCAGGAGACGGGCCUCCUCCUCCGCUGUCAUGCGAGGAGGGGGAGGUGGCGACGGAGAGGGGGAAGGCGACGACGUGGGCGUCAGGCCGCGCACCCAGGUACGCCCCCGCUCCUGUCGUGGCCGCCGCGGCCCCGUCGAGGUGCCGGCGAAGAACGAUGCGCGCCUGGUGCCGUGCUCGUCACAAAACCAGGUGUCCCAGAGUCCGGAGUCGGGGGCGUACCUGGGGUCGUAGAAGAGGUCGUCGGGGAGGCGGCGGUGACGCUCAAUCUCCUUGUCGCGCGCACGGCCGCUCGUCGGGACCGGCGGGAUCGGGACUCGGUCGGCGGAGAGAUGCCAGUUAUUGGGGAGAUGGACGUCGCUCCAGGGGAGCGGCGUCCUCGUCUCCCAAUAACGGCGGCACACCGACGAGCGGACGUAAUGCCGGCCGCGCUCGCCGGCGAAGGUGGGCGCGAUGGAGAAGGCGGGCGGUGCGGGGGCCCGGUGUGCUGGCGAUGGCGAGCCGCGGCGGCGUCCCGACAAGGAACUAGCCUCGCGGUUGUGCAUGCCUUUGCGGCCCAUGGCGGCGGGCGGCCGGCCGGCGAGGUGUUGGCUAGGGUUUGGGACUGGGGCUGUCGGGUUUCGAGGAGGCUGCGGGAUGGCGUGAGACAGUGUGGACGACUACCCGUCCACGCUUCCCACUUAAAAAAGGACAGCGACCGUUUGACGUGCGGAUGACAAGUGGGGCCGCCCGCUCGUGUGCAUUGAUGUGGGCGGGUGGGAGGUAGGUGGCCGCCUGCCACGCGGCCCUGACGCGGACGAGGCGCGCGUCCGUUUCUUGUCCGUCGCGACCUAAACCCGGCGCAAGUUUGCGCUCGAAAUGUAUCGGCCCGGACACAAAACGGACAAGACGGGUUUGGGCCACUGCGCGCUGGGCCGCCUCCUUUGUCCAUUUUACCACAAACUGAUGGGAUCGGACAGGAUAGGGUCACACGGUGGUGGUGGAGUUGGCCUUACGUCUGCAAAUAGCCACGUGCAUUGUUGGGGGCCGCCUGCCCGAUGGACCCGGGAGGGAGGGGCUCCUCUCCUCUGCGCGGGCAUGUGGCCGUGGCGGUCAAGAGCUGACUCGGAGCACCACAUGCAUGCGCGGAACACGGGCCUGCACCUGGACGGCCACUGUGACAACGUUUGCCGUGUCCUAUUUACACGUCGCUUUUACCAUGCUCCCACCCGCCCAGCUCCAAGUCUGCAAUCAUCCACGACCGUGCCGACGCAUCCAGCAAAUCCCAAGCCAUAUUACGGACGUCGACCGCGACGCGUCCACACAACUGUCCCUGUUUGAUCGUACACGUCCAACAACACGGCGUACGCAGGCGCGCAUACGCUGUGCAUGUGACAACAACAUACAUUUGAAACGGAUGGUUGGACGCCUACGAGUGAUCGAUCGAGCACCCUCGCCCACCGAUCGCCGCGCAGGCAGCACCGCACGGCCGCGUCGGCACCGCCUCGUCCUGUUGCGACCUGUGAGGAUGCUCUGGUCAAUGACUGGACGUGCGCCGCAGUGGAACGUACACGCGCCUGGCCGUCCCCAUGCCGCCGCGCUCUCCGCUCCCAGGCGCCUCCAGCCGCGGCAUCCCUCAUCCCGGGAUGUCCUUGGCGCCGAGCGUGGGCGCUGCGCGCCGUGACGCGCCACGCCGGCCACCGAGCAGGCCGAGGCCACCACGAGAGCACCGCUAGUACUGGCACUGCACACGACGCAGAGGGGGAGAUGGGCACAAAUGGCUGGCGUGCGCGCGCAGGUACACGAGGCGAGCGCGAGCGGGCGGGAUGGGUAUGCCCUGCUCUGGUGGUUGGGGCUCGGGAUCACGGGGCGUGGUGGCAAACGGUGUGGCCACGGCACACACACGGCCGCGGUGACCGUGCAUGCAAAUGUGCUUUGGGUCGUUGGUUCAGCACAGCGUGGUGGGCCGCCUGUGCCGCCACUAAUGAAUCGCCUCCGACCUCUCUCUUUUCCUCCUUUUAAUCCGCCCCGCUUUGCACAAAGGCGCUGCAUCCUCUCUGGUGUUUGUCGUCAGCGGCCGGGGAAGGGAUCGGUGGGCGCAAGCGUGCGUGCGUGCGUGCUGUUUCGGGUGCAUCUUCGCGAUGCGAAUGUGCAUCCAUCUUCGUCCGAUCCAUCCUCGUAUGUCCGUCCACUGACGCCUUUGCCUUUCCCUUGCACUGCCUGCCGCUACACACGCCUACACCAUGCCUACAUCGGUGCAACGUAGCCUGACCUCGACCUGCAUUUCCAGGCUCGCUCGGCCACGACGAGUGAAUUCAAUUCAAUGCGCUUGCAUAAUGACGACAUACGCUCUCUCUAGGCUCCUGUGCCACCGUUUAGACACACAGAGGAGGAAUGCGGCGACGGAUGGUCUCUACAACCUACCGCGCUCUGCUCGCUGGGUCACUCUCGUUCGUCCCAUGUGCCCUCGUCCAGAGGCCUCGCCGUACCGAAAGAUGCCUUUCUCUUUCUCUUUCUCUUCCUCUUUUCUUUUCUUUCGUUCCCGUUGCAUCAAAACGGCCGGUAACCAACCAGUCAGUCAGGCUUCCCAGUGUGGAAGUAGCAGCAGCGAGAGCGAGGCGUCUGUGUAAGAGGCAGCAGAGCCGCUGCCGCUUUCGCUCGCCACUUUCUUUUGUUGGAACGGGACGAAAGCGGGUUCCGGCGCCAAACACUCAAAAAAAAAAUGAAACUCCAUGGGCACUAGCACCCACGGUUUAUUGAUAUAGAAGAAGCAUCCCUCAUGAGAAUUUCAGAAAUUCGUCCCCGACGUGGAUCGAACUCUGGUCGUUAGGUUUACAAUCAUGCGCCCCCAACCACUGGGCUAUGCCCACGUCCUCGGCGCCAAACACUCAACGAGCACCGCAUGGCCAUGGCCUCCAUUGCUUGCUGGAUGCAACCAAGCUUAGCUCCUAAGCUACACCUACGAGCACAGCAGCAGUAGUACGUUGCAGCCUCGUGGCUGCGUCUUAUCUUGGCUACACCCGGAAUAUCCAUGCGUGACACGCUUACAAUUACUAUAGUUGCCAGUAAUCAUGUUUUUAGCAGGCACAACACAGCACAACACACGCAGUUGUGAAGCUCCUUUUGAUAAACGGACAGAGUGUGUACUCGCUCUGUGACGGAAAGACGAGCCCGGUGUCAGUGGCUCGCCGUGGCAGAGCUGGCCACGUCCAUCUAGGUCAUCAACAUCGCGCAGGCACGGGGAGGGAGGCCACCAUGGCAUGCAUCGCAUGAUGAGCUGCCAUGUUUGUACCAUUGCUAGCGCCACUACUCCGCGCUGUCCCACACACACACGCGCCUACAGUGGGUGGGACUCUUCUCUUUUCUUCCCUCUCCCUCCCUCCGCCCUCUCUCACUCUCUCCGUCCAAGCAGUUUCGCUCGCUCGGUAGAGAUUAUAAUAUCACGAUGGGCCAAAAGCUCCAGUGAGCCGCUGCCCCCACCGGCCGACGCUCCUCCCGAGAACCUCGCCAAGGAAUCCUAGAAUCCAAGAAACCCACCAGCAAAACACAGGCCAGCCAGGUCCGUCCGUGGUGGUGGUGGAGGGAAGGGAAGAAGACCAGUGAAGACCACGCAAGGCACAGGCGCAUUUGCGUGCGCCCGUCCUCGCGUGCUGUCUUCUCCUUCCUCCUCCGACCGCCGCCUUCCCGGACAGUGAUGGCGCGGCGGCAGGCGGCUGCGGCCCUGCUGUGCCUGGCCGUCCUGGCGACGGCGGCGGCGGCGUCCGUGCUGGCGGCCGCGGUCACCUACGACCGGAAGGCGGUGCUCAUCGGCGGGCAGAGGCGGAUCCUCUUCUCCGGAUCCAUACAUUACCCCCGGAGCACCCCAGAGGUAGCCCCCAGCUGCGUUCUUCGGAGACCGUCUCCUUUUCCUUUCCUUUUCUUGCUUUUUCCGGGGAAGGGGACGGGGGUUUCGUGUGUGGCUGGUUAAUGGCGCGGUUCCCGGUUUCUUGCUUGGUAGAGCUGCCAUGAAAGAAAAGUGAAAUGCCGCUUGCUUGCCCGUACGUUUCCCCCUCUUUGCUUUGCGCUCAAUGCUUUCAAGCGACAGAUAUCGACAUUUCCCUAUCCUUGCGGGCUCCUUUUUUUGUAGAUUUUCUUGAAAUGCUGCUCGUUUUGCUUGCUCCUGCGACCAUUUUUGGGGCAUUUUGCUUCCCCAGCACCGCUAAUAAUCUACAGUAGCUUGUUACUAGAUUUUCGUUCACAUAUUUCCGAAUCUCUGGCUGAUUGACCGACCACUGACUGCCCAUUGACGCUGCUCCUGUCCAUCAGAUGUGGGAAGGGCUGAUUCAGAAGGCGAAAGACGGAGGCUUGGACGUGAUCCAGACCUACGUCUUCUGGAACGGCCACGAACCAACCCCCGGAAACGUACUGCAUCCACACUUAUCAUCACCUACCAUUCAGACAUUCAGUGUGAGCUGCUACUAUAAGAGGUGUGGAAUUCCAGUGGUAAUUUUCUCGCUUGGUGCAGUACAACUUCGAGGGGAGGUACGAUUUGGUCAAGUUCAUUAAGACGGCCCAGAAGGCCGGGCUGUUCGUGCAUCUCCGCAUCGGUCCCUACAUUUGCGGGGAGUGGAAUUUUGGGUAUGCACAUUUACUCCUCGCCACCACUUGUUAAGAUGAAUCACCAGCACAGUAGAAAUGGCACUAUUUACUGGCAUUGUGCUGCUGCUUCCAGUUUGGUGAAUGCGUGUGAUUUGCUUUUGUUUGUCACUCACUUCACUUGACUUGUGUCUGUUCACAUGCAAUUUAUGCAGCGGCUUUCCGGUCUGGCUCAAGUAUGUUCCGGGCAUCAGCUUCAGGACGGACAACGAGCCUUUCAAGGUCCGUGGGAGUCCACAAUUUCUGGAUCUUGUCUGGGAUGCAGGUCUUCUUUUGCUUAGGUUUGUGGCAAUGACCCUUUGUUUUUGCAGGCGGCAAUGCAGGGGUUCACUGAGAAGAUUGUGGGGAUGAUGAAGAGCGAGGAGCUCUUUGCUUCCCAAGGUGGCCCUAUUAUCCUUUCUCAGGCAAGUGUGUAUAAACAUUCUCUUCGAGCUAAAUGCAAAUCUUUGACAUGGCAUGGUUGUUUACUGCAUGUUGAGAUAGUUGCCAACUUGCCAUUGUACAUAACGCUGAAAUAAAUAAAUUUUCUUCCAUGACACGCGAAACUGCUCAUUCAUUUGUUGCAAGUGCUCUGCUUAUUGUUGCCUUCUUUUCUUGCUUGAAGUUAGUGAUUCAGCAUUUGUCAACAUGGUUUGUCUUAAUCUGCGUAUUUUCCCUGGUUGCUCAUGGUGUUGGCUGUUGUUAUUUGGAUUGCAGAUUGAGAAUGAGUAUGGGCCAGAAGAGAAAGAGUUUGGGGCUGCUGGCAAGUCAUACAGUGACUGGGCGGCAAAGAUGGCCGUGGGAUUGGACACCGGUGUGCCGUGGGUGAUGUGCAAGCAGGAAGACGCACCAGAUCCAGUGGUAUGUUGAUCUUGUCCCAUGCCGAAUUAAAAGGAUCAUGGCGCAAAUGUAGCAAACUGAUGAUUAUUUGACAUCUUAGAUUCUUAAGGGUAUUUUUCUUUUUCUUUUUUGCUCAUGUAAGUUCACGUGUUUAUUUCUGUGAGCUCAGUGCAGGUUAUAUCCAUAAGGCAUUCCAUUUAGUGUUUUAGGUUUCUAAAAUACCGGUUCCAGUUCGUAUACAGAAUAUAGACUCGUUUUACAACUAUAAUCAAAUCAGUUUGUAUGCUACAUCUUGUCGAACUUGUUGAACUAGUAGUUCAAAUUACAUUUAAUUGUCCUUUGUACAGAUAAACGCAUGCAAUGGUUUCUACUGUGAUGCAUUUACACCGAAUGCGCCUUCCAAGCCUACGAUGUGGACUGAAGCUUGGACUGGUUGGUAAGUUCUCUUUCGAGGGAAAUAUCCAAUCUACUGUGAAAAGUAUACAGCUACAGUUUUCAUUGAUGCAGUUCACAUGUUCAUCAUUUAGAUUCUGUUGAUCCUAGUGUUUCUUUGUACAAUUGCAUUAAUAUGAACAAUAAUGUAGGUUUACUGAAUUUGGUGGGACCAUCCGUAAACGACCAGUUGAAGAUCUUUCAUUUGCUGUUGCUCGCUUCGUGCAGAAGGGUGGUUCUUUUAUCAACUACUACAUGGUAUGACAGAAAACAAGUUGUAGAUAUGCUUAUUACCAUUCGUAAGUUUUCUUGAAGCUUCCUGCGGGGAGAUAUUCACGUUUUUUCUUCUGAACAAAGUAUCAUGGUGGAACAAAUUUUGGGCGCACCGCUGGGGGUCCCUUCAUUACAACAAGCUAUGAUUAUGACGCUCCACUUGAUGAAUAUGGUAAGUUUAGAAAUAUAGUGUUGCUGUCAGUAUGGUCACUAUCUGUAUCUAUUAUUUGUCUAUUUUGAGCAUGGUGGUGACUUUUGACAUAUAAAUAAUUGAAUUUUUGCUAAAUGGGCUAGAUAAUUCUUACCCAAACUCUGCUUUGUUAUUAACCAGGACUUGCAAGAGAACCAAAGUAUGGACAUCUUAAAGAACUUCAUAGAGCUAUUAAGUUAUGUGAGCCGGCAUUGGUUUCUGUUGAUCCAACUGUGACUUCCCUUGGAAGUAUGCAAGAGGUUUGUCUUGAUUACCUUUUCCCAUCACUGAAGUGCAUAUAUCCCAUAUGGCUUGAUCUGUCACUUACAUCUACAACCUAUAAUUCAGGCCCAUGUCUACCGAUCUCCAUCUGGUUGUGCAGCUUUUCUCGCAAACUAUAAUUCUAACUCUCAUGCGAAAGUUGUCUUCGACAAUGAGCAUUACAGUCUACCACCUUGGUCAAUCAGCAUCCUUCCUGAUUGCAAAACAGUUGUUUAUAAUACUGCAACAGUAAGUUCCACUUGUGCUUAUGAGUAUGGUAUUACGUCGUUCUCCGGUCUUGUUAUUUCAAUCCAUUAUAUGUGGAGGUUGUUUAGCUGGUCCAAAAUGCUAUUAUCUCCACAGGUUGGUGUUCAGACAUCUCAAAUGCAAAUGUGGUCCGAUGGGGCCUCUUCAAUGAUGUGGGAGAGGUAUGAUGAGGAGGUUGGUUCACUGGCAGCUGCUCCAUUGCUCACCACAACUGGUCUACUGGAACAGCUUAACGUCACAAGAGACACCAGUGAUUAUCUUUGGUACAUGACCAGGUAAUUGCCACACGAAUAAGUUACAGGCCUCUAAAUCCAACUUCAUUGGAGUUUGAUCUGUUUGUAAAACUUUCUUCGUUUUCUGUUUAUGAAAAAGCGAGGUUCAUGUCUUUCAUGCUUUUUGUUUUAGAAAAGGAGGAUUAUCACUGGCCUCUGCAUCCUUUCAUGCUGAAACAUAAUAUGCUUAAAAUGAUUAUUGUAGUGUGGAUGUAAGCCCCUCUGAGAAGUUUCUACAAGGUGGCAAGCCUUUGUCUCUCUCUGUGCAAUCUGCUGGCCAUGCCUUGCAUAUCUUUAUCAAUGGACAGCUACAAGGUUUUCCACUUGAAACUGCUCUCUUGUCUAUACAACACCAGCACUGUGGAAACUGAAUAGUGAAUAAAAUAAUUUUUGUUCUGGUGUAGGUUCUGCUUCUGGAACCAGGGAAGAUAAAAGAAUCUCAUACAAGGGCAAUGUUAACCUUCGUGCCGGUACUAACAAAAUUUCACUGCUGAGUGUUGCUUGCGGGCUGCCGGUUCGUUCCCUCAUCGCUGCAUGAAUUUAUAAACUUACAGCUAAUGAUCUUGCAUAUAUGACUGAACUAUUCUUGUCCCUGUAGAAUAUCGGGGUUCAUUACGAGACAUGGAAUACUGGUGUCAAUGGUCCUGUUGUGCUUCAUGGUUUGGACGAAGGUUCGCGAGAUCUGACCUGGCAGACAUGGACCUAUCAGGUGAGUGCAGCAUCUAGUAACUUUGUUGUUGACUAAUUUAUGUUCAAGUAAGAAAGAAGGUAAAUAAAUGUACCUUAUCCAUUCUAGGUUGGUCUGAAAGGUGAACAAAUGAACCUGAACUCCUUAGAAGGUGCAAGUUCAGUUGAAUGGAUGCAAGGAUCAUUGAUAGCACAAAACCAAAUGCCAUUGGCAUGGUAUAGGGUAAGGAAAAAAAUCAAUCUAUGAUAGGAACCCUUUAGCGGUAUAAUAUUUUCAGUCCCACUCUUACAACUGCUUGUUUUAAUAGGCAUACUUUGAUACUCCAAGUGGUGAUGAACCUCUGGCUCUGGAUAUGGGUAGCAUGGGUAAGGGACAAAUCUGGAUAAACGGACAAAGCAUUGGACGGUACUCAUUAGCAUAUGCAACUGGGGACUGCAAAGAUUACAGUUACACUGGGUCAUUCCGGGCAACCAAAUGUCAAGCAGGUUGCGGUCAGCCGACACAACGCUGGUAAGACCAUUUACCACAACAUUUGAAUGAGAUAAUCAGCCCGCUGCCUCGUCUUUUUUUAGUAUCCAAAAUCAUACUGCUUGAUACUUGUCUUCCUUCACCAUUAAAACUGGAGCAUUCACUUCCAAUUAUUUUUUGUUUUUUGCCCUCGUUAGUAAAGUAUUGUUGCUACUGCAUUGACUAAAUUGUUCAAACUGAUAUAUUCAGGUAUCAUGUGCCAAAAUCCUGGUUGCAGCCAUCUAGAAAUCUGUUAGUUGUUUUCGAGGAACUUGGCGGGGAUACUUCGAAGAUUUCGCUUGUGAAGAGAUCAGUGUCAAGCGUCUGUGCUGAUGUAUCAGAGUUUCAUCCAAGUAUCAAGAACUGGCAGACUGAGAGCUCAGGGGAAGCUAAGCCUGAGUUACACAGGUCGAAGGUGCAUCUAAGAUGCGCGCCUGGGCAGUCUAUUUCUGCCAUCAAAUUUGCAAGCUUCGGGACGCCCUCUGGGACUUGCGGAAGUUUCGAGCAAGGGGAGUGCCAUUCGACCAAGUCACAGACUGUUCUUGAGGUCAGUUAAUUUCUUUCAGUAGUUUUAGACCGCUUGAAUUCUCUGCACCGGAGUGCUACAGAAUGCCCAUGUUCACAUUGUUAUGCUACUUGCUGAUGUUUCUUGUGUUCAUUUGAACAGAAAUGCAUUGGGAAGCAAAGGUGCGCCGUCGCCAUCUCCCCCGACAACUUCGGUGGAGACCCCUGCCCGGAUGUGAUGAAGAGGGUGGCGGUCGAGGCGGUAUGUUCUCCCGGUACAUAGGCGACUCUUCCGACUAGACUAAUUUAAGGACGGCGCAGCAGCCUUGUGUGUGACCGAUCAAGCACAUGGGAAGUGAUGUGGGGAGGUGAGAGUUCAACUGUAAAGUACUACCGACUCGAUGUAGACGUGGCGCUGGAGGAUUAGAAUUCCAUCUCUAGCAUUGUGAUUCAGAUUAGGAUUGGUGCUCUACCCUGCAUCUCCAUGAAUUGUUCAAAAGCGACCAGCUGGUAAUUUGUGGUUGGUCCUAGAUGGAGUGUAGGGAGAGUAGAGGCAAAAGAUCGAUGCAUUCUUUUGCUCGUGUCGUCGCUAUGUUUUGGCUGUGUCACUGCCAUCUUUCUUGAAGAAGAGAAGAUGCUGUAUCCUUACUUUUGAAAUACUUGCUUUUAAUUGUGCAUGCUGUGAGCAUGAAUAUGCUGAUGAUCACUUGCUCUUGGUUCUUGAGUCGUGUUUUGCUGGUGAUUUUGUGCUCGAAGAGCCUGAAAUCUGAAGAAAACUUCAUUGUCAUGUGAAAACAAAGAAGCAAAUGGCAGGAAACAUGGUAAAUAAUCGACAUGACAGUUUCCUCUCUGAACAAACAUGAAUGGGAUUUUGGUCUGCCUUUUCUUUCAAAAAAAAAGAAAGAGAACAAACAUGAAUGGGAUUUUGGUCUGCCUUUUCUUUCAAAAAAAAGAAAGAGAACAAACAUGAAUGGGAUUUUGGUUCUGCCUUUUCUUUCAAAAAAAAAAGAAAGAGAACAAACAUGAAUGGUGGCUCAGUCUUAAAGACAGUGGACUGGCUGCCUACUGGUCCUCGCUGAUAACCUUUGCAGAGGCCGGUGCCAGACAGCUCCAUGCCCGACAGAGCAUUAUCCUGAAAACCAUAGAGGUGGACCUAAUAAUGAAGCCGAGUUAUUGACAGGCAAAGUAUGUAGGCGUGCACUAGCAUAGCUGGAGCUCGAGCUCGAAGAAGAAUUCUCUAUAUGGAGGAACGUCGUACCCAUCGUGGGCGACGGUUGCGUGUUUAUAUCGCCAGGUCGCGACCUCCUAGUAUAGCGUACAAGUUGGUUCAGAUUACAACUUGAAGAAGAAGAGAUAAGAGAUGUUACAAAGAUAAACGCAUACGAGCUAGAUCCUAGUCUAUCUUCGGUUGGAGUCCUGGGCGAUGGUUAUCUUCAGGACUCUGAAUCUCUGUCACGUACAGCACUAGGCGUUGCCAUAUUACGUUCAACAUUCUCUCUUAAUCACAACUUGGUCAAGUUGAGAUUACGCUUGAACUCUUCAAAAUUUUGUGUGGGCAAAGCUUUGGUGAAUCCAUCUGCAACCUGAUCACGAGAAUGAAUGAACCGAAUUUCCAACUGCUUGUUUGCAACUCGUUCUCUAACAAAGUGGAAAUCAAUCUUAAUAUGUUUCGUCCUUGCAUGAAACACAGGGUUAGCAGACAGGUAAGUAGCACCAAGAUUAUCACACCAUAAACAUGGAGCUUGGGUAGUCUUCACACCAAGCUCUCGUAGCAUGGACUGGACCCAAAUAAUUUCAGCUGUGGCAUUGGCCAAAGCCUUGUACUCAGCUUCAGUACUGGAUCUUGAUACAGUGGCUUGUUUCUUUGCACACCAUGAUAUUAAGUUUGGACCAAAGAAUACUGCAAAACCACCAGUAGAUCGUCUGUCAUCUAAACACCCUGCCCAGUCAGAAUCAGAGAAUGCACUAACAAGUGUAGAUGAAGACUUGUUGAAAGUGAGGCCUAGAUUAACUGUGUCCUUCACAUAUCUCACUAUGCGUUUAGCAGUUGUCCAAUGAGUUAUAGUGGGUGCAUGAAGAAACUGACAAACCUUGUUUACUGCAAAUGAAAGAUCAGGUCUUGUCAAAGUCAGAUACUGAAGUGCACCUACCAAGCUCCUGUACCUGGUACUGUCAUCUUGACCCAAGGGCUUUCCUUCUGUAAGUGACAAUUUUUCUAUGCUGGACAGUGGAGUUGGUGAGGAUUUACAUCCUUGUAACCCAACUCUUCUUACCAGAUCAGUGGCAUACUUUUCCUGAGAAAGAUGAAGACUAUUUCCUUGUUUCUUGACUUCAAUCCCUAGGAAGAAGUGCAAGUCACCCAGAUCCUUGAGAGCAAACUCAGCACUUAAAUCCUUCAACAUUCCUGAUAUAGCCUCAUUAGAUGAGCUUGUGACAAUAAUAUCAUCAACAUAUAUAAGAACGAAUAUUGUUGUUUUCAACUUGUUGUAAAUGAACAAGGAUGUGUCAGACUUAGAAGGAACAAAACCAAGAGUUUGCAAUUUGUGGCUUAAUCUGGAAUACCAUGCCCUAGGAGCUUGUUUAAGUCCAUAUAAUGCUUUAUCAAGCUUGCACACAUGGAACGGCUUAUUCUUGUUUUCAAAACCAGGAGGUUGUUUCAUAUAUACUUCCUCUUCCAGAACACCAUGAAGAAACGCAUUCUUGACAUCUAGCUGGCGAAGGCUCCAUCCCCUGGAAACAGCAAUAGAGAGCACAAGACGAAUAGUUGCAGCUUUAACAACUGGACUAAAGGUGUCCUCAUAGUCUAUACCGUACCGUUGUUUAAAACCCUUUGCAACUAGUCUGGCUUUGUAGCGAUCAAUGGUUCCAUCAGCCUUCUUUUUAAUUCUAAAUACCCACUUGCAAUCAAUCAAAUUUUUACCGUGUCGUGGCGGAACCAGAUGCCACGUUUUGUUUUUGAGAAGUGCCAUGUGUUCUUCCUCCAUGGCUGCCUUCCAAUUUUUGUCGCUGAGUGCCUCGCCAAGAGUACUUGGUUCAUCUGUGGAGCACAUUAAACUGAACUUUGUCAGUUGUUUGUAAUUAACUGGUUUUAUUACCCCUUUUUGGAGACGUGUCCGUGGAACAGCAGCAGCCGGUGGUGAUGCAGAAAAUCCUGGGACGGCGGUGUCAGAAGAUCCUGUGAGAAUCCCCGCCUCGCUGCCAGCAGGAUCCUCUGUGCCAACGCGGUUUGGAGACGGUGGAGACGCGGCGGAAUCAGGCGCAGAGAAUCCUGUGCCGUGGGAGACAUCCAGCACAGACCCAUCAUGGCGCAAUGCUGAGGCGAAUCCAGGCGGGCCCGCGCCGGAUCGCGCGCCAGCGGCAGAGGCUGACAGGGCCGGAUCUGCGGUGGGACCAGCGCCUACACCUGGCUCCUGGCGGUCCUGGCGGUCCCCGCCUGUGGGCUGGCGGCGGACGUAGUGGCGGGGCCCAUCAUGAGCCCAGCGAAUCUCGGGCUGCCGUGUGGGGGCAUCCGAGUGGUGGAGGCGGGCCGAAUCGCCCUGGCCCGUGGCGAGGCGCCGAGUGGCAAGCGCGGGGCCACUGCGCGGCUGGCUGGCGGGCUACGUGGGUUUCCGCGUGGCGCUGCUCCCGGGCGACCCUGAUCCCGAGGAGGAUCCGCUGUCAGGCUGCGGUGGAGUUGAUCCCGAGGAGGAUUUGUCCCCCAGCCCUGGACACAUGAAAUAUGGCGUUGUAGGCAGAUUUUCUUCGCCAUUUUGAGCGUGUCCUGCACCGUUUUCUGCGCUGUUCUCAUCUGCAUCAUCAUAGAACUCAUGCACUUGGUUAUGAACAUUAGUCAAUAUUGGAUCACCACAAUCAUUAUCCCCAUGAGAGAUGCCGGUAAGACUAGAGGGUAGAAGAAGAAUUUCUUUGCGAAGUAGUGCCCCGGCAUUUGGGUGGAGUUCAGAGAAAGGAAAUUUUGUCUCAUAAAAAAUGACAUCACGAGAGAUAUAAACUCGACCAGUGGAGAUGUCUAGGCACUUAACACCUUUAUGUUGGGCACUAUAGCCAAGAAAAGCACAUUGCUUGGAGCGAAACAUGAGCUUGCGAGUGUUAUAUGGGCGAAGAUUUGGCCAGCAAGCGCAACCAAACACACGAAGAGUUGUGUAGUCGGGUUUGAUGUGGAGGAGACGCUCAAUAGGAGUUUCAUAGUUGAUGACACGGCUAGGUAGCAUAUUUAUGAUAUGUACCGCAGCAAGAAAAGCCUCGUCCCAAAACUUUAGGGGCAUGGAGGCGCCGGCUAGUAAGGCAAGACCGACUUCAACGAUGUGUCUGUGUUUGCGUUCAGCAGACCCAUUCUGUUGAUGGGCGUGAGGACAUGACACGUGAUGAGAGAUGCCAAUUUUCUGAAAGAACGAGUUUAACUUCUCAUACUCCCCUCCCCAAUCAGAUUGGAGAGCCAGGAUUUUGCAAUCAAAUUGGCGCUCAACAAGAGCUUGAAAAUUCAGAAACACUUGAAACACAUCCGACCUUUUUUUAAGAAGGUAAAUCCAUAAAAACUUGCUAUAGUCAUCUAUGAAACUCACAUAAUAUGUGUGUCUACCAACAGAGGAAGGGGCAGGCCCCCACACAUCAGAGAAAACAAGUUGUAGAGGCUUGGUAGAAACACUGGUAGAAAUUGGAUAAGGUAGCUGAUGGCUUUUAGCCUUUUGACAGGAAUCACAAAUUUUCUCAACAUCACGCUCUCCAACAUACGGGAGCUUAUUUUUCUUAAGUAAUAUCUCAACUAAGGAAAAAGAUGCAUGUCCUAAACGAUCGUGCCAUCGUGUUGAAGACACUUUGGUGGCACUAAAAACUUGUUUAUUGAACCUUCUAAUUUCUGGAAUCAAGGGGUAAAGCCCACGAACGCAUCUACCUCGAUAUAGCACCUUCUUCGUUGCCUGAUCCUUGAUCAAAAAGAAGUAAGGGUGAAACUCAAGAAAGACAUGAUUGUCAAUGGCAAUGCGAUGAACGGAAAGAAGGCUUUUUGAAGCACUAGGGACAUGCAAAAUUUUCCUAAGAUGAAUUUUUCGAUGAGGGGUUUUAAUAAUUGAGUGACCAACAUGACUAAUUUUCGUACCUUCUCCACUUGCUGUGUGGAUGUGAUCUUUGCCACGGUACUUGUCGCGCAUGGUCACCUUCUCCAGCUCACCGGUGAUGUGGUUUGUGGCACCGCUGUCGACCUACCAAUUGGUGUCGACGCCGUAGGAGCCAUCAGCAGCUCCGGCCACCUUCUCAUCUUGUGAGGAAUCAUCUUCGUCUUCUUCAAAACGGUACCAACAAUCUUUUGCCGAGUGUCCCGGCUUGCCACAGAUUUGGCACCUGAUUGCAUCAGGGCGUGAUCUGUUGUUGGAGGAGUUGCCGCGCCGGCCUCGAUUGUUGGAGGAGAAAGGCCGGCCGCCGCGUGUGUUGUUGGCGUCGCUGCUGUUUCCGUUGCCGGAGCCCCGGCCCUUGCCACUCCGAGGUGGGCCGCGGUAGCGGGAGCCUCCGCCCCGGCCGCGCGUGGCAGCGUUCGCUGACGACUUGAAGCCGCCCGUCGCGCCUGCUCCCUGGAAUAGAGCCACCCGUUGGUCGAAGUUGCUCAUCUGCCCGAACAGCUCGUCGAGAGUGACCGGGGUGGUGCGGGCGUCGAGGGCGGACACCAAGGGCUGGUACUCCAUGUCAAGCGCGUUGAGAAUAUACGAGAUUAACUCAUCAUCCUUCAACGGCUUGCCAGCCGCGGCGAGCUCGUCGGCGAGUCCCCGCAUGUACGCGAAGAAGGUGGCCACCGAUUGCGUUCCUUUCUGCGCAUUGGUGAGGGCGGCGCGGAUGUUGUUGACACGGGACAGCGACGUGGACGAGAACAUGCUCGCCAGCGCCGUCCAGAGUUCGCGUGCGUGCGCGAUGGAGGUGACCUGCACUAGCACCUCUUUGGAUAGGUUAUUCAAGAGAUAACCAAGUACCUGCUGAUCCUCGCGGAACCAGACGGCAUGGAGUGGGUUGGGGAUGGUUGCCUCCUUUCCAUCCUUGUCCUUGCCGACGACGAACUCGGCCGGCUCCGCCAUGCUUCCGUCGACGUACCCGAAGACUCCAGCUCCUCUCAGCUGCGGCGUGAUCUGAGUGCGCCAAAGAACAUAGUUGGUGCGGGUAAGGCGCUCGGUGAUCUGGCCGGAGAGAGGGGAGGAGGUGGCGGCGGAUGAGGCCAUGGCAGGAAGCUUCGGUGGAAGGAGGAGAGCUAGAUGGGAAGAGUUAGGCUCUGUAUACCAUAUGGAGGAACGUCGUACCCAUCCUGGGCGACGGUUGCGUGUUUAUAUAGCCAGGUCGCGACCUCCUGGUAUAGCGUACAAGUUGGUUCAGAUUACAACUUGGAGAAGAAGAGAUAAGAGAGGUUACAAAGAUAAACGCAUACGAGCUAGAUCCUAGUCUAUCUUCGGUUGGAGUCCUGGGCGAUGGUUAUCUUCAGGACUCUGAAUCUCUGUCACGUACAGCACUAGGCGUUGCCAUAUUACGUUCAACACUCUACUCUUUUGAUUAAGGCCUCCUUUGGUUCAUAGGUAGGAAUAUCAUAGGAAUAGGAAAAUCAUAGGAAGCGAGGUGGCAUGCAUCUCACUUCCUAUAGAUUAAGAGAUGUCAUCUGAUUCAUAGGAUAUGAUUUUUUCCAUUAAGUCUAGACUAAUAUUUUUUCCCUUUGAAAUAUAAAGGAUUGGUUCCUAUCCUAUAUAGGAAUAGGAAUCCAUUCCUACAAACCAAAGGGCUCCAUAGAAAUUUUUCCUACAAAAAUCCUAUCCUCUAAAAUCCUACAAGAUUCCUCCAAACCAAAGGAGCCUAAAAGAAGAGGAAGAAACCCGCGGAAGCUGCCACGCACAACCCAACACAAUCAUGCGGUUGGGGUUGGGGUUGGGGUUGGGGUUGGAUGCCUCUCUCUUCUUUUUAGAGGAUCAUUAUGCGACCUACUCCCUCGUUUCUAAAUAUAAGUCUUUUUGGAGAUUUCAACAAGUGACUACAUACGGAGCAAAAUAAAUGAAUCUUUUUCGAUAAAGGGUGCUUUCUUAUUGACUCAUAGUGUAGCAUCGAGGGAUACAAUCAUAACGAGUACACACACAGCCUCUGCACAAUUAGGAUGCACACAGCCAACACAACACACGCACCCACACGUCACUUCGGCAAAGAGCAAAGUCAUAAAAGACCGAAGCUAUGCCUAGGUGAAGAAAAGAAAACCCGAAGAAUUGAAAGCAACAAUAAACGAUAUACAGCAGUGACCAUCGGCGUCAACCAUCUCGUCACAACACAAGGACUACGAGAAAGGCUCUCCAAAAGCGACGCCUUCAGAAAGGGAACGACGUUGAAGCGCCACUGUCGCCGAAUCCAACCACCACCAAUUCCGAGCAAUGCCCUCAUCAGGGUAACAACGCAAAAGAACGCGCCAUUGCCAGAUAUGACCAACUAGGGUCAAACCUAUGGUUUUCACCACGGAGCUCGAGACUAGGUACUGCAGAAGUACCACCCAAUCGAAGUAGUCUUGUGCCAUCUCCUCCACUUUUCUCAAUCCCAGUAGUUGCAUAUGCGCACGGUCCUUGUGCCGGGGGAUGUCCACACCCGUACGAGCAAGCUGACAAGACGAGACAAGAUCUUCUCUCGCCACCAUCCGACGAAGACUUUGACGGGGAAGUGUAGGUGUCUAGCGUACUCACUGAACCACGGCGAUCACCGGAGACAAGGAAAAAACAAGAGAGAGAGAGGACACGAGGUUUCCCGGCGCACAAACGCCUCCGGCCGCAUGAACAGCCCCUUGUAUAUCCGGCGAGCUCGAACUCUGCCACACACACCAUCCCACGGCGAGCACACAUACACUCCAAGAGGCUACAUCUCUCUCUGGCUCCUCUCUCUCUACACAACACCAGCAGCCACUUAAAUAUGCAAGGCCACGCACAGCCUAGCCGCCUCCAUCGGCCACUAACAACACUUACUAACUACCAUGACGCCACACCUCCAUGCACUAACCAACUCAGCUAGCAUGCAUACUAGAAUCACUCACGCCCAGCUUUCUAGCUAGCCCACUAACUAACCAGCCAUGCAUGUAGAUGGAAUCCCGGCCACUACUCACGCAUGAACGUGACUCGGUCAGGUCGCUGCAUGAGGCUGCGAUCAAGAUUAGUGCUGACAGGAAGAAGGACUGUCGGCACCAUCAAAAUCCCGGGAUGGGGACACUCUGAAGGCCUACACCAUCCUCACAAGUAGCAGAUGUUGGCUGAUCUGUAUCAGACGACAGCUCCACGAGCUGCCACUACCUCAAGCGUUUUCGCACCAGUGGACGCACAUCAUUCAGGUUUGAAGCUCUUGAGGUAAGCAGUCUAGCCCACAACCACACAGCAGCCUGCGGACCAGAUUCACGGCCGAACCUGAGGGAACAACCACCAUGAGCACUACGCACCAACGCCAAAGAUGCACCCAUGGAGCAGCGGCCCUAGCAUGGGUGUGCUCUCAGGUUGGAUGCAUCGGAGGAAGUCACAGCACAAGACGCAGAGGAGCAACAGGUGUGCAUGCUCCAGUGGUCCUGUCGAUGAAGAUGACUGCGUCGCGAGCGCACAUGGUGCUGACCUAGUUAUCCCAAGCCAUGCUUCCGCCAGAUACGUGGAGUGCUGGAGCCGCCGCUGCAGCAUCAACCUUCACAGCGGCCAGCCACCAUCUGCAUCUCGUUGAAUACGUUGCCCAAAGAUCCACGGGAACGGAACCCUGCUGCCGCCCUCAGCCGCCCGAGCAAGCUCGAUGACGCCGACUGGCGGCGGCGAGGGGAGGGCGCACAGGGACGACGCCGGAAAAAGCGGACCGAGCCGCCCGAGUCGCCCAGGCGGACGACGCGGGGGCAGUUUUUUUUUUGUAUGAAAUCUUUCUCUCCCUGCAGGCUCAGUCAAAUGAGUGAAUCUAUAUUCUAAAAUAUGUCUACAUAUAUCCGUAUGUUAUAUUUUAUUUGAAAUGUCUAAAAAGACUUAUAUUUAGGAACGAAGGGAGUAGGAUCAUCAUGCCUAUAAUACUACAUCUAUGUGAUCCUAUGUAACCUUGAUUUUCAUGGCUGUGGGCCCCCCUCACUCCCCUUAUUCCAAUUAAAAUUUGCAAAAUCAGCAGCAUUACGUAAACCUUACGUAGCUUUGCGUGGAUGUAGCAUUGCUCUGCUACAGACGCGGGAGCAGCGUAGAACGCCAAGGGUGAUUGAAAGUAAAAAACAAAAAGAAGAUUCUAGGAGCAAUGCGGUGAGGGGGUGCAGGAUUUGUCUGUCCGACUCCUCCGACCUGUAAAGCAUGGAGAACCAACCCUAAAUCUAGCGAAAGAAAGACACAAAGACGGCGUGCCGCGGCGGGCGGACCUCCGGUGCAGUGCAGGCGCGAUGAUAGUAAAAGAGGGGAGCUAGGCUGCUAGGGUCCCUUCGACGAUGUGCUCCCUCCUCCUUGGCCCGGCGUCUCGGAUGCGGUCGCGGUUACCGACGCCCAUCCGCCGUCUCAUCUCCGGAGUUCUUUUCCUCGGUGUGUGCGUACGGUGCAGGGCAUGGACUGGACUUGUGGGUUUUGGCUCAGGCCCUCGUCUUAUGCAUUUGUUUUGUGGGAGAUGGUAAACAAUUGCUCUCACACUCUCGGUCGUAUCGUAUGGUUAGCACCCCGGCUCCUGCAGCUGCCAAUAAUGUCAAGUAUCCACACCUUCAUGUGCAUCUGCUAUAAUGUUUAAGUAUCCACAUCUUCAUGUGCAUCAGCUGUCAGCGUGUCAGAUAGUUAGACAAUACAUCAGAUCUCAGAUGCCGGCUGCCACAGUUUAAUGAAGGGAUGCAUCGGUGACUUGGGUGGUCGAGGGGUGCAACUCCGGACAUCGCUUUAUGCGGACGACGCGGCAAUAUUUGUUGCACCGAUCAAGGAGGACGUCCAAGGCCAUCUCCACUAUAUGUCUUGGAAAGCUUUGGAGAGGUGACCGGACUGGCUACAAAUUUCCAAAAAAACGCUUUGUGUGGCACCCAUCCGGUGUGAAGGAUUGGACCUUGAAGACAUCAUGCAAAGCAUGCCCGCGGUGCGCUCGACGUUCCCCUUGCGCUACCUUGGGCUUCCCUUGUCGAUUAGGCGCUUAAAAAGGAGCCACUUCUAGCACCUCGAGGACCAGGUCGUCGGCAAGUUGCCAUCUUGGCAGGGAAAACACUGCAAGUUACCACAUCACGACGCUUGUCAUUCCAGCUGAGGUUCUACAAGCCAUUGACAAGAUCCGGAGGGCCUUGAUUUGUGCGGGUUCCGACAAGGUUUCUGGGGGCAAAAUGCAAAAUUAACUUGACUUCUGUGUGCCGCUCCAUGAUCCUCGGUAGCCUUGGUAUCCUUCACCUUGCAAAGUUUGCUCGUGCACUCCGCCUAAGGUGGCCAUGGCUUGAGUGGAUCACGCCGGAAAGACCUUGGGUGGGCACCGGGAACCCUUGCGACAAGGAGGACAUGGGCCUUUUUCACGCCCUCACGAAGGUCACGAUAGGAGAUGGACGCAAGGCGAGCUUCUGUGAGUCGCCUGACUUGAUGGGUUUAGACCUAAGCACAUUGCACCACUAAUUUUUGACAUUUCCAGAAGCAAAAGUUGGAGCGUAAGGAAGGCAAUUCAGAAUGGUGCUUGGGUGGACAAAAUUCGGUUCUCAAAUGGCCUAACAGUGGCGCACAUCCAAGAAUUCAUCUCGCUUUGGACUUUGGUGACCCAGGUGCAACUACAAGACAACCACCUCGACACCAUCACUUGGAAGCUCACCACCUCAGGGCAUUAUUCGGCGGCCACUGCAUACAAGGCACAGUUUUGCGGCAUCAUGGCUUCUAGCUUCAAGAGCAUGAUUUGGAAGAACUGGGCACCGCCAAAAUGCAAGUUCUUUGCCUAGUUGAUCACUCAGAACCGAGUUAGGACGGCCGGCUGCCUUAUUAAACGUGGUUGGCCAAAUUGUGGCAAUUGUUCGUUGUGCAACCAAGUUUCGGAGUUGGUGUCACACCUACUCUUUCAAUGUAGGUUCUCCAUAAUGGUGUGGAUCAUGGUGCGUGACUGGCUUCAGCUUGAAGGGUUACACCCAAAUACUUUUGGGUUCGAAGAUGUCCAAUCUUGGUGGUACGCCAUGGUUCAUGACGGCUUUGGACGUCGUAAGGCCAUGGCUUCUACUACAAUGCUUGUGUCUUGGGAGAUAUGGAACGAGUGCAACACAAGAAUCUUCAACAACAAAUUCGCCAGGUCGGCAGUAAUCAUGGCCAAAAUCCAGUGCGGGGCGAAGAAUUGGGGGUUGGCAGGCGCAACCCAUUUGUGUAAUCUUAUGUCGGGAGAGUAGGCUUUUGUUUUACCGGCUACUUGCCCUAGGGCGGCCAGCCAAACCUGUUCUAAACUCUCUCUUAAUUAAUGAAUGCCGCAAGUCUUUUGCCCUUUUCAAAAAAAAGGUGUUUUUACAUUAUACUCCCUCUGUAAAGAAAUAUAAGAGUAGUGAUCUAAAUUCUCUAACAUUCUUUACGGUGGGAGUAUUUCCUUAUUUUCAUCGUUUCUUACUCUUGUUUCCCAGCACACAACGGUAAUAUUAAUAUUUUUAUUAUUUUAAAAAUAGGUGCAGUAUAUACACUCAACAGAGUGCGAGUUAGUCCUAUGUUGAUAAGGCGCCGAGAGAUGUGUAGUUAUAGGCCCUGGGCACUCUCCAAAUUUUCUUUUCCUCAACAUUGGACCAAAUCAUACGAGACUCCUAGAACUUGGUCUUACAGUUUUUUGAACGAGUCUGGGAGUUAUAGUGCUCUUUUGUGCGAUUUUAUUCAGGUGGUGAAUGAGUUGCAUACCUACAAGGUUUAUGUAGACUAAGGUUACCACAGGGCUUAUGUAGCUACACCAUACACGUAGGCUCUGCCUUUAGCUUUGAUAAUUGAAACGGGAAAAAAAGCCUUAUUCGUGUCAAAAUAGAAGAUAUGUUAGCACGACCAUGCGAAACAUAUUCUUCCUUCCUGCCAUUUUCUUUGUCAACCCCUCACUCUGCCUUCGAAUCUGUCCCGCUUUGCCGUAAAAACUACAUCCUCCCUUUCUAUCAACGACAGCUACAUGAAACUUCAUUCCUCGUCUUCUAUAUGGUUCUUGGUACAUAACUAAUUAAAAGGUGAAAGAUUUAUUGGCAUUGCUAGUUUAACCAUGGCAACAAUACCAGGCGAUACCAAUGCUAGGAAUAUUAGUUUCACUAAAUUCACUAAUAAGAACAUUAGUAUAGCACUUGGCGCCGUCUUAUGGCAAUACAUAUAUAUCACUAGUUCUUGGAAGAGCUACAAUGAUCUAUACAAAACGAUAAUGAAAUCACGGUGGGAGGGGUAAUGGAGGUAAUCUUUGAUCCUUAAUUCCAUGAUGGACUAGGAGAGAGGAUGAGUCAAUAGCUCGUGGUGGACCAAUCCCUCUCAUCUAUCCACCUAGGUGGGUUUCUUUUCUUGGGCUUCCUUAUUGACUUGGGCCUCUUUUCCAUUAACUAUUUCUUAGUCUUAUUCUUUUUCCUCCAUUCACUUGUUUGACCAUAGUUGGUUGCUUCACUUGACCUUGAUGAUUUGCCAAUUAUAGGUUUGGUAGGACUAAGUAGGGCCUUGAGUAAGAUUAACUGCUCCGCAAUCAAACAUCACUAGUCACUCAUAAUUAGCCAAGAAAAACAUGAAAUGUUUCCUCAAGGAAUCGGUCUUAUAUAGACAUAAGAAAUUAAAGAUGACUCAAACAUCUAAUGUGGCCAAUUUUUUCGCCACUAAUGAAGAUCAACUUGAAAGUUAGGCAUUUACAUGACACCCCUCGAUUAAACAAGGCGUGUGCACAAGAGACAAACAUUUGCUCUUCACUGGGUAACUUGACCAAAUCUUCGGAAUCCACCGCCCUUGUGCCCUUGAGUUAUUCUAUUCCAGUGCACUGACGACCUAGAAGCUAAGUUGGCAACGCAGGACGAAGAAAGGAGAUGCCAGCAACAACUGGAGGGUUUCUCCAAAGCCCCUGCUCGGUCACGACAGAUAGCUCUGACCACUCCAACAUGCCCAUUACGAUGUACAGUAGCAUCUACAUCGAGUUUUGAGAAGUUCUCCGGCGGUGCAAUCCACCCUGAAGGACGAAUAUCCGUUGUUCUUCUAGUAUUUCUGGCUGGCCCGUUUGUUUUUAUUUCGCCCAGAUAGGAGUUGACCUUUUAUAUAGCUGCCCUACGCGAGCUCAACUCUUGAGGCUCAAGUGGAUUUUAAUUCCUGUAAGAGCAACUUCAACAGACCGACCCAAAUGGACGUACGACUUGUCGUCGCUUUUUAUCCGUUUGGUUUGGCCGAGCGGACAGAUUUGUCCACUUUUUCAUGGUCGCCCGGUGUGCCCAACCGCAGCCGGAUGCAUUUGUGACAUAUCAGUCGCUUCAUAUCUGCGCCCCGCACCCCGCGUCACGUGCUCGCGCCUGCCCGUGCUCUGCACCGUGCUCCGCACCCCACCCCGCUCCCUGCGCGCCUACCCAUGCCCCGCGCGCCCGCGCCCCACCGCGUGCUGCUGCUCGGCCGAGGUUGCAGCAGCCGCCGCGCGCUGCCCCAAGCCAAGCGCGAGGACCUACAAGUGGGCACAAACGCCAGCGCACAUUGGCCAUGGCCGAGACAAGCGAUACCCACGCGAGCGCGUGCGAGAGGUGCCUGACGGCGGCGACCACCUGUUCCUACUGCUUGAGGUCGGAGCGAGGCUAGGCAUGGCAAGCACGGCGCGACACCGGCCAGGCGUGGGGCGAGGCCAGCGGCUGCAGUAGCGCCAGCCAGGUGGUGCACGUCCGCUGCGGUGCGGCUGUUCAAGUCCAAGUAAUUCUUACCUUGCCUGAUAGCAGAGCAUGUAGACACUUCGCCAUUGGGUCGCUGCUCUAGCGCCGAGUUCAUCCACUUGCGCCAGGCUAACUCAAACUCGCCCAAUAAAUGGUAACGACCUCUACGUGCCAGUUCCCAGGCCACACAAAAUCGUUCAGACAAACCUCUCAAUGUGACAUAUGUACAUUCCCCUCAACUCAUGAUAUACUUUGUCAAAGCCCAAGACGAGAACUUUCCAUCUAUGUUGGGUGGCUUCCUCCUCUCUUUACAAGAUGUGAAUCACCUCUCCAAGUUAGAGGGCCAAGAUCCUGUCUUGAUCCAGUAUGGCAGACGGUGAUGGCACGGCGAAAAGCCACAUGAAGUUAGAAGAAAGUUAUGUGGCACUCUAGUGCGUGCUGCUGAAGGGAGGAAUGUUGCUGCGCAGAUGCUCACGCUACGUUUCUCAUCUUCUUCACCUUAUAGGUGAUGAAGGACAGAUAAAUGAGCAUAGAUACCAAACACUGAACACCAUCAAGAAAAUGCAGCAGGCUAUUACUGCUACAUAACAAGAACCAAACUUAGAUAUCACCAGGCAGCCAGACAAACAGAAGAACCAACAACAGGCGACUCAAAAGUGCAUGACAUAGAACACGUUGCUACAACGUUCAGGCUGGCAAACGGGCAGGCAUAAUUAACAAAAAAUUGACCAGUACACAUCGGGGAUAACUAGUUACUUGAAAAGUAAGGUUCAGCGGGGCUUCAUUUUUCCCAUAAACAGGCGUGCAGCUUAGUCGCCCUUCCGGCGGAAGGAGCAUCCCUCGGUGAGCCUCGCCUUUCCUCCGGUGGGUUGGCAGAGCACCGUCUGGCAGCCAGGGCACACCACCACGGUCUGAGAGUGGCUGAACACAGUCGUUCUGUCACAAGGCAAUAGAUGGUUGGAAA